rnacentral:lncRNA from 1 species
CGAAUGACCACCUGAAGUACUUGCCUCAAUACCUGCACAAUUAGUGCAGAAGUGUAGUAUCAGUACGUAAAUCAAUGCGUAACCAGAAAUUAUCUAGUCUAACCACGAAGAAGUAAUAACGAUGGGUCGAUAUCGACACUUACUAAUAAAAGAAGAAGACACUUAAAAGAAAAGAAGAAGAUUUUUUGAAAGAAUAUCAGAGUUCGAGUAAGGGCUUGAGAUUAUCUCGAGGGGAAGGUGUUAGGCACCCCUCAAGAUCCACUAGUGUGGUUCCUGACCAUACUUUAAUUGUGACUUUAAAAGAAGGGGAAGAAAACAAGUAAAGCUUUGCACAUAAGAAUCACGAAUAAGUUUUAAGCUUUUGAAAAGGGUAAAGAAGAUAGAAAAGGGGCAGUUUUAGAAAAGCAGUUAAUUUAAAGAACAAAAUUAGAGCAGACAGGACAUACGUGGUUUUGGAAAAAGAUUAAUUGAAGAAAAUAUUAAUUCUUAAGAAAACAUCACAUCAUAUAAAUAAAGAAAAGUGGUCCUAGGUUUAAAUAUAAUAUGGAUCACUUUGGUGCAAUACCCAGCAAUCAUUCUCACAUGAGAUAUCAGCGCACCAGUCAUCAUAUCCAUAUUCUAUCAUUCCCACCACGUUAAGGUAUCAAACGCAAUUAGUAUCAUGUACUUAUUGCAUGCUAAUACCCAUUCCAACAUGUCAUCCAUGGGGUUCAAGUUUUCUAAUUCUAAAAAGGGGGAAAGGAAGCAUAGGCAUAUAUGGAGUUUCAAAGGAUAAAAGACUAAGGCGACAAGCAAAAACAAGUAGCAAAUAUUGAGGGACAAAACACACACGAAAAGAUCAUAUAAACCUCAUAAAUCACAUAGCAAUUAGUGUAGCAUACCUUGCAGAUACUGAUUUGGUUUUUUACAAUUAAACGGUGGACAAAUUAGUUUAGCACAUAAAAUUAGGUAAAAAGUCUGCAUUAGGCAACCUAGAUCCAAUUGUCAGAAGUCGGGGUAUUUUAUAUAAGUUACUGAUAAAGAACCUAAUGCAAAAGAAUUUGACACAGAAGGUUGGAAAAUCACAGAAGUUCAAAGGGGUUUUUUAAAAAUCAGCAGAAUUGUUUCAGUAGAAGUACAACAUAAUUGUAAAGUAGAGUUUUCAGAAGUAAGAAUGCUUAAAAUGAGUUUGAAACAUGUUUCAAAAGAGAGCUUCAUGAGACGAAUAAAAAAUCCAGGCAAGGAGUUAAAAAAAAGCAUUUCAGGAAAAGAAAAAUGCAAGUUUAGAUAAAUUGCAGACAAGUUUGGACAAGCUUUGUUUGAAAACAUUGAAGCCAAUGGCCAAAUUAUUACUUACGCAGAUUUAGGCGAGUCUGAAAACCUAUAGGUAGGAUAUCUAUACCAUAAUUUUUUAAGACUUGUUAAUGUUAUUAAACGUUAAGAAAAAAAUAUUUUCAUUACCCUACAGUUUGCCUAACGUUUCAAUGCAUUUCCUAUAGGCAUGAUUUCUAUUUGCAAUUAGGUUAUUAGUAGGUCCUAUAGGCAGGAUUUCUAAUAAUUUGCAACAUGGCUGAACAUUAAAUCCAGUAGACAUGAUUUCUAAAUGCUCGAAUGAAAGGAAUGCAAAAUCCUAUAGACAUGAUCUCUAGGUGAUUUAAAGCAUUUAACAUAUAGGCAUGAUAUAUAAGUGAUUAAGUAACAACAAACCUAAAGGCAUGGUAUCUACCCUUUAGCAUAUGCAAUUAAUAUAAACCCCUCCCAUACCCUUUUACUAAUAUUUUCCCGAGUUCUUUUUACAAGGUUAUUACAAAAUUAGAAGAAAGAAGGUAAUCAAAAUAGCUAGAUCCUAGAAGCCUAAUUCAAACUUAAUAUCUAAUACAUGUAUUUUCACCAAAUCCGGAUUCCAGAUUCCAAGGCCUUCUCUUAUUUAGAGUGUUUCAAAGUUCCAAGGAGCCUCCAGGACCCCAGGCUAUGCUUAUACUCUGAAUAAUACAUAUUUUAAAUGAAUAGCGCAAGUGUGGAAUUACCAGCCCUUAGGCAUCCAAGUUUAGAGGGAACUCGAGGGUCCUAAAGCAUGGAUUACCAAAGGGGGGGGAGGGUAGAACUUAGGAACUAGGAAUGAGUGCAAAGUGAGGGAGGAAGCAUAGCGGAGGGUGGUCAUACCCAGCCAUGGAAUAGGCUGGCACACCCCUGACUUGGGCCCAGGCAAUGCUUACACUCUAAAGAGUAAAUAUGGUAACAGAAUAGUACAAGUGUGGAAUUACCAGCCCUUAGGCAUCCGCGUUCAGAGGGAAUUCCAAGGUCCCUAGGCAUGGCUUACCAAAGGGGGGUAGAACUUAAGAACUAGGAAUGAGUGAAAAGUGAGAGGGAAACCAUUGCAGAGGGUGGUCAUACCCAGCCAUGGCAUAGGCUGGCACACCCCUGACCCUUUGCUUAGGUCAAAUAAACAGGAGCAGACUUUGGGGAGUCAAAUUUAGGGUCCGAGUGGUGAUUAGGACACUACCAGACCCAAGUUAAAGCUCAGCACAUAAAGGGGAUAGGGAAUGGGAAAGAAUUUGAGUAGAGACUCAGGAAAGUCUAAUUCUAGAUCAUGGACAGCAAUAUCAGAUGCUGCCAUGAUUCAGAACAGUACUAUCACACAAAAAGGAAUGCGGGGAAGGUAUUUCCAUACGAAAGCAUAUGAUGACAUUAAAAAUGUAAGAAAGCAUAGCAAACUGCAGAUGCAAGGGCAUAGAAGAACAUGCUACAGAACAUAAACACACAGUGAAGAAUGGGUAAAAGAAGAGAAGUUAAUACACAUAGUAGGAGAGUGUUGUUUAACUUAGAACUACAUACCAGUUUUCAGUUCUAGUACAACAGAGAAACAACAGCAAGUAGACAGCCGGACAGUUAGCAGGAACAAUUCAAAAACAUCAGCAAGUACUUUGGGAAUUUAGAGGAACUCCAGAAAUAUUCAGAUAGUAGGAGAUAAGGGAGUAGAGUGCUCAGUAGGGAGACAGUAGUAAUAGAGAGAGUAGUAGUAGUAAAGAGAGUAGUAGACAGUAAAGACAAAGAUGAUUGUGUAUUGCAAAGGUGCAGAAAAGAGUUCUAAGAACUGUGUUGUGUGUUGUUGUUGAAAAGGUUGUCCCUUUUUGCAAUGCAAAAACGAGUAAGCAAGAAGGCAAGGAAAUAAAAUUUCAGUCAAUCAAACAAAAUUUCCCUUAGUCAAGGGGAUUUGAUUUCAAGAGGGAAUGAGUAAUUAAUGAAAGGAGAAUAUUGAAACCUUUUCAGAGUAGCAAAAUAAGGGUAAGUGCAUACAGAGUCUAUUUAAAGUAAGAAACCUAUAGUACACGAUUUUAAAGAAUAAGAAAAAUACAGUAAUCAAACAACCAGAAAUUCAAAAACCUUGAAUGAAUUUAGUCAAAAGAAUCGGGAAGAGACUAAGUUGUAAAAAUUAGUAGCAAAUCAAUCGAGCCUUAGUAAAAGAAGACUGAAAUCAAUCACAAGCUAACAGUAUCAAUUCAAAAAGAACAAAACACUCGUAUAUAAGCAUGCUAGUAUCCGGCAAGAAAGAAAGAUUGGCAUAAACAGUUUUAGAAUCAUAAGCAGAAGAAAAGUAAGUUUCAAUUCAGUCUAUGAACUCAACAUGAGUUCGAGAGCCUAGGUUUCUAGAGUAGAACCCUAGAACCAAAAGCUCGCCAAAACCCCCAAAUAGGGUUUCAAUCCGAGUAUGACACAAAAAAAAGGCCAACUCAACAAGCCUGGGGAACUCUUUCAGAGUUCCCUGAGGAAUUACACAGACACACGUAGCAAUCAAAAGAAGUAGAGUGAAAGCUUGUAAAAAACAAGUUUUAGGAAAACUAAAACUCAAACCAGUUCAAAGAAGAGAUGCCAUAGGAGUUUAGGAAACAGUGAAAGAAGCAAGUUCGAUAACCCGAAUAGAUUCAGUAAAAAUGAAAUCCUUCAGUAGGAGGAAUAGUGAAAAGGACAGGCAAGACAGGUGUGCAAACAUGCUUAUAGAAAUAAUCAGUAGAAGCAGUAAUAGAACAAAGGCAGAUGAACAUGCACAUUUAACGGAAAAUCAUAAGGACGCAACGAAAACCCCUUAAAGCAUGGUAUGAACACACAGAUUCACAGAAAGAAAGAAGAAGAAUAAUCAUAUUAGGAUUUUUGAAAACCCUAAUUUCAAAAGACUAAUUUUGAAAAGGAAAAUUUAGGGAAGUCGUUAAGACAUAGAGUACGGCACAAAUCUGCUAUAGAUCUACAAAAACAAGAAAAUAAAAACCUCGAAUCAAGCUUUUUAGGGGUUUCUCAGAAACCCUAGAGACAAGAAGGUCUGGAACGAUCUGGUUUAGAGUAGAACUGAUCCAUGGCUACGCUCAUAUGAGCUUGGACACGCCGGAACGGAGCUGGAGGAGCCGCGGGAAUUCAGGUCGGCGGAGGACCUGAACAAGUUUGUUGAAGAUUGAUCCUUGAAAUCCUCGAAUAAUCAUGGCUUGGGGUGAAAGGGGAGAGAAUAUAGGUUGUCCAUGGCCUGGGAAGCCAUGGACACCGGUGGGUUUGGUCGGAGACGAUGAUUGGCAGCUAGUGCUUCGAGUGGCCUAGAGAGCAUUUGAGAGAAGAAGGGAUUUGGGGGCGGUG